CAGCACGCGAGCUUCCGUAGUUAGCAAAGAGCUUUGGUGCAGCGUGUUAGGUUUCUUUUAGCUUGUCCAUUUGACCCGACGAAGCUCUUCAGCUUUCCAACGAAACUGGAGGCUUUUUUUUUACUAGCCCAGACAGGUUCAUUUUCUGAUGCUUAUUUGGUCCUUUUGUCGGCACCGCGAGGAUGUCUUCAAAACCUUUCGCAUCUUUGGCCAAAAAGUGGAUGAAAGGCAUCAUUGUCAUUGAACUACUUGGCGUUUUUGGUGCAUAUGCACUCUUCCACGCCAUGAACACGAGCCAAGAUUUCAGGAGCACAAUGAAGAAAAGAUUUCCAUCCAUUCUGGAAGUUUACUAUAAGUCCAACGAGCUGGCGGGCGAGUACGGUGUGCGGCAGAGGGAUCAACUGGACUGGGCGACCGACGCCGGUGGCCGCUGACGGCUACUUCCUCUUCCUCUUGUUGCCC